rnacentral:pre_miRNA from 7 species
CUUCUUCCUGGAUGUGAGUCACAGACUGGGAAAUCUCUGCAGGCAAAUGUGAUGUCUUUAUAGCAAUCUCACAAUUACCUGUAGAGAUUCUACAAUCUGGCAUCUGCAUACACAGUAAUUAU